AUAGAGACUCAGAGCUGCAUAUCAAUAAGCGGAGGAAAAGAAACUAACUAGGAUUCCCUCAGUAACGGCGAGUGAAGCGGGAAGAGCUCAAAUUUGAAAUCUUCAAGGUUCUACCUUGACGAAUUGUAGUUUAAAGAAGUGUUUUCUGUUGGAGUUUUGGUAAAAGUUCUUUGGAAUAGGACAUCAUAGAGGGUGAGAAUCCCGUAUUUGACCAUUAUUUCCAACUUUGUGAUACACUUUCAAAGAGUCGGAUUGUUUGGGAAUGCAGUCCAAAAUGGGUGGUAAAUUUCAUCUAAAGCUAAAUACUGGCGAGAGACCGAUAGCGAACAAGUACCGUGAGGGAAAGAUGAAAAGAACUUUGAAAAGAGAGUUAAACAGUACGUGAAAUUGUCAAAAGGGAAGCGUUUGACACCAGUGUUGUUUUUCUCGAAAAUCAAUUAAAAAUGGCAGGAUGUUGUGUUGUAUUGACUUUAUCAGCUUUCUGCACUUUUUUCUUAUCUUUUUUAAUGCACUUUUCGUUUAACAAGUCAACAUCAAUUUCUUUUGUUGUAAAAGAGUCAUUGGAAGGUGGCUUUCUUUUCGGAGAAAGUGUUUAUAGCCUUUGGCCUCUGCAAUCGGAGAGAUUGAGGUCUGCAGCGUAGAUCCUUCGGGGUUAGAUACAUUUGUGCUAAGUUAUAGCCCUUCAUAGACAACUUGUUGACUAUGAUCAGUCAUGUAGCUUACUCGCUUAUGUCAUUUUACCUACGCUUAGGAUGUUGAUAGUCACAGCGUGUAC
rnacentral:rRNA from 1 species